CCGACCGCCCACCAAGCAGGACUACCCACUCACCUUA
rnacentral:rRNA from 1 species